AACGAACGCUGGCGGCGUGCCUAACACAUGCAAGUCGAACGUGAAAGUCCUUCGGGAUGAGUAAAGCGGCGCACGGGUGAGUAACACGUAGGUGACCUGCCUUUUAGAGGGGAAUAACCAGAAGAAAUUUUGGCUAAUGCCGCAUACGAAGCACGGUUUUAAGACUGUGCUUGAAAGAAUGCCUCUGCAUAUGCAUUCACUAAAAGAUGGGCCUGCGGAACAUUAGCUAGUUGGUGGGGUAAAGGCCUACCAAGGCAACGAUGUUUAUCCGGUCUGAGAGGAUGAUCGUCCACACUGGAGCUGAGACACGGUCCAGGCUCCUACGGGAGGCAGCAGUGGUGAAUAUUGCGCAAUGGGGGAAACCCUGACGCAGCAACGCCGCGUGAGUGAGGAAGGACUUCGGUCUGUAAAGCUCUGUUAAUGUGGAAAAAUGGUAGUUGGUCUAAUAGGCCGAUUAUUUGAUGGUACACAUAGAGGAAGCACCGGCUAACUUCGUGCCAGCCGCCGCCGUAA
rnacentral:rRNA from 1 species